UUUAAUUACAUGUACAAGUCAAAAAACCCAAGGUACAACAUUUUUAUGCAGUAAAACGCCUAAGUUACAUGAGGUGUGCGCCUCAGGCCAAAAAGCCCACAAAAAAACAUAAAAAAAUGCGCCUUUUGGUCGCUUCCUGUAAUUACACAAGGCGAGAAGCAAAAAAGCCCCAGGCCCUGCGCCUUGUUGCGCCUAGGGCGCCCUUUUUAAAACCAAGAUUCAGAUGCGCGACUCAUGAUUGAUUUCAGGAAAACUAGGGUUUCGUAAGUUGAGAUUCCGGCGAUCUAGGGCUUAAACAAGCUUUCUCCAGCAAUGUCCAGCAACGAGGAUCCGUCUACGAUUUUGAUGUUCCUAACCAUUUAUCUAUUACACAAUUGCACAUGUAUUAGUUGUAAUUUCCCCUUUUCAAGAACAUGGUGUUCGAGAGGGAGAGGCCGCGAAUGGAGUUUACUUCAUAUGGGAAGGCGAGUGGCUGUUUUAGCUUCUAAAGAAGAGCGCAUUAGUCGGUUUACAUAAUAAAAAGUACAAGGGUUAAAGCGGUUCUCCAGAUUUCUUGGUUUUAACAAGCGCGCCUUAGGCGCAAGGCAAGGCGCGAUUUAUACGUAAAGCGCAAUUGAGACGCAAUUUUUUAUACGUAAAGCGCAGUUGAGACACAUUUUGUAAUGGCUGUUUUAGCUUCUAAAACCAUUAAUAAAGAAUUGUUUUGUAAGUUGGUUACAAGUCUUGAAACCUUGUUAACUGUUCAAGUUUCUACCAAAAUUUAGCUUAGUUAGGCGAAAUGCCACUUGUUGUAAUUUCUUUUGUUGCCUUGAAUUAAAGGUUCUCCUAAUAUAUUUCUAGAUUAUGCGUCGAUAGAUAUGAAUUGGAUCCGGAGGUUGAAAGUUGGGUAACGGGUCAAAAUGGGUUUCGCAUAUGCUUAUAUCAAAAGAGAAUUGAAAUUCUUAUGUUGUAAUGUUUUAACUUAAAUUGUUUAUUUGAUGAUAUGUCUUAUAUGAUACAAAUGUUGUUUUAACUUUU